rnacentral:rRNA from 2 species
CUUGCUUUCUUUGCUGGCGACCGGCGCACGGGUGAGUAACACGUAUCCAACCUGCCCUUUACUCGGGGAUAGCCUUUCGAAAGAAAGAUUAAUACCCGAUAGCAUAAUGAUUCCGCAUGGUUUCAUUAUUAAAGGAUUCCGGUAAAGGAUGGGGAUGCGUUCCAUUAGGUUGUUGGUGGGGUAACGGCCCACCAAGCCUUCGAUGGAUAGGGGUUCUGAGAGGAAGGUCCCCCACAUUGGAACUGAGACACGGUCCAA